CUUGCUGGUUGGAUCAGUGGCGAACGGGUGAGUAACACGUGAGCAACCUGCCCUUCACUCUGGGAUAAGCCUUGGAAACGAGGUCUAAUACCGGAUAUGACGCACCUGGGCAUCUGGAGUGCGUGGAAAGAUUUUUCGGUGGGGGAUGGGCUCGCGGCCUAUCAGCUUGUUGGUGGGGUGAUGGCCUACCAAGGCGACGACGGGUAGCCGGCCUGAGAGGGCGACCGGCCACACUGGGACUGAGACACGGCCCAGACUCCUACGGGAGGCAGCAGUGGGGAAUAUUGCACAAUGGGCGCAAGCCUGAUGCAGCGACGCCGCGUGAGGGAUGACGGCCUUCGGGUUGUAAACCUCUUUCAGCAGGGAAGAAGCGCAAGUGACGGUACCUGCAGAAGAAGCGCCGGCUAACUACGUGCCAGCAGCCGCGGUAAUACGUAGGGCGCAAGCGUUGUCCGGAAUUAUUGGGCGUAAAGAGCUCGUAGGCGGUUUGUCGCGUCUGCUGUGAAAACUCGAGGCUCAACCUCGGGCUUGCAGUGGGUACGGGCAGACUAGAGUGCGGUAGGGGUGACUGGAAUUCCUGGUGUAGCGGUGGAAUGCGCAGAUAUCAGGAGGAACACCGAUGGCGAAGGCAGGUCACUGGGCCGCAACUGACGCUGAGGAGCGAAAGCAUGGGGAGCGAACAGGAUUAGAUACCCUGGUAGUCCAUGCCGUAAACGUUGGGCACUAGGUGUGGGGCUCAUUCCACGAGUUCCGUGCCGCAGCAAACGCAUUAAGUGCCCCGCCUGGGGAGUACGGCCGCAAGGCUAAAACUCAAAGAAAUUGACGGGGGCCCGCACAAGCGGCGGAGCAUGCGGAUUAAUUCGAUGCAACGCGAAGAACCUUACCAAGGCUUGACAUACACCGGGAAAAGUUGCAGAGAUGUGCUCCCCUUUUGGUCGGUGUACAGGUGGUGCAUGGUUGUCGUCAGCUCGUGUCGUGAGAUGUUGGGUUAAGUCCCGCAACGAGCGCAACCCUCGUCCCAUGUUGCCAGCGGGUUAUGCCGGGGACUCAUGGGAGACUGCCGGGGUCAACUCGGAGGAAGGUGGGGAUGACGUCAAAUCAUCAUGCCCCUUAUGUCUUGGGCUUCACGCAUGCUACAAUGGCCGGUACAAAGGGCUGCGAUACCGCAAGGUGGAGCGAAUCCCAAAAAGCCGGUCUCAGUUCGGAUUGGGGUCUGCAACUCGACCCCAUGAAGUCGGAGUCGCUAGUAAUCGCAGAUCAGCAACGCUGCGGUGAAUACGUUCCCGGGCCUUGUACACACCGCCCGUCAAGUCACGAAAGUCGGUAACACCCGAAGCCGGUGGC
rnacentral:rRNA from 1 species